rnacentral:rRNA from 1 species
UACGAGGGGGGCAAGCGUUGUUCGGAAUUAUUGGGCGUAAAGGGCGCGUAGGCGGUCUGAUAAGUCUUGUGUGAAAUCUCUGGGCUCAACCCAGAGUCUGCACAGGAAACUGUCGGGCUUGAGUAUGGGAGAGGUGCGUGGAAUUCCGGUGUAGCGGUGAAAUGCGUAGAUAUCGGAAGGAACACCUGUGGCGAAAGCGGCGCACUGGACCAAAACUGACG